rnacentral:lncRNA from 1 species
CUUAACUCUAAAAUCGGUCUUGCUGAUUGUCUGAUGCAACUUAGCAUACAAAGAGGAGCCAGUGCUAUGUGACCAGCUUUCUCCAGACACUGAGAAGUGUUGUGCAAACUGCAUUUUCAGAACAUCAGAUCUGACUCUCAGUCCAGAUGUGAAGCUGGAAAUUUCCAAAUGAUGCAAACUAUUGCCAAACAUAGGUAAGUGAAAGCUUAAAAUCUCAACAAAUUGUCAGCAUCUUUGCACACCAGGAGUGUGAAGCUUGGUGAAAGGCCUGCUGCAAUCUAAUGCUUCCUCACCACCAAGACUGAUAAAUAGGCCUUGCUUUUCUUUGCUUUCUCAAGCACCGGAUGUAGUAGGUGAUCUGUGAGGCCAACUGGGUCAGCUUGCUCAGCUGGUUGUAAAUGACUUCAUUUUUUGGUUAUUUUUCACUUUACUGGGAAAGCUGUACCACGUUGUGGUUGCACUUGCACGUGCUAAAAGCCUGACUGUUUCUUAUCUUGACAGCUUGCUUUCGUUGAUUCACUGAGCUUGUGAAACUGCAUCCUGCACCUUGGCAGCAGUGUUUGAGCUUGCAGGUCUCAGAUUCCUGCAGAGGAAGCUGUAUGUUCAGGGCCCAUCUGGUUGUCUUUGCCUUGCCACCUGACAGCUAGCUUUAGCUUUCUGCUAAAUAAAUGGUAACCUUCCUUUAAAGGGAAGCAUUUGCACUGCAGUGCUUUUGGGCAGGCUUGGCAGAGGUGACCAUCACGUCAAUGGGCCCUACGUACUGAACUAGCCUUUUCUUACUGUUUGCUGCUGCUUCUGCCUCUGAGGCUUCUCUUGGCAAGGUGGCACGGGGAGCUUGUGGUGCUGCUGCCAGAGACAUACUGAGUUUGGA